rnacentral:rRNA from 1 species
CAAGGAAUCUUGGUCAAUGGGCGAAAGCCUGAACCAGCGACGCCGCGUGCAGGAUGAAGGCCCUCGGGUCGUAAACUGCUUUUACGUGGGAAGAAGAUCUGACGGUACCACGUGAAUAAGCCACGGCUAACUACGUGCCAGCAGCCGCGGUAAUACGUAGGUGGCAAGCGUUGUCCGGAUUUAUUGGGCGUAAAGCGCGCGCAGGCGGUUCGUUAAGUUCGGUGUGAAAGCUCCCGGCUCAACUGGGAGAGGUCAUCGGAUACUGGCGGACUCGAGGGAGGUAGAGGAAGGUGGAAUUCCCGGUGUAGUGGUGAAAUGCGUAGAGAUCGGGAGGAACACCAGUGGCGAAGGCGGCCUUCUGGGCCUUUCCUGACGCUGAGGCGCGAAAGCGUGGGGAGCGAACCG